rnacentral:pre_miRNA from 1 species
GAUUUCAACUGAAAAUGUUAUCAAUAACAAAGUUCUAUAACUCAUCAAGACCUAUAACUUUUAUUUGGGUCAUUUCUUCAUCCGACAAAGUAAUUUAUAACAUUAUUCAAAAAAUGUACAUAUCCCUUAUAUAGUUUAUAAACUAUAGGAGAGAUAUGUAAAUUUUGUGAACAAUGUUACUAUUACUUUAUCGGAUGAAGAAAUAACCAAAAUAAAAGUUAUAGAUACUGAUGAGUUAUACAACUUUGAUGUUGAUGACUUUUUCAGUUGAAAUC